UCUUUGAAUAGAAACUACAGGACUGCAAUAGUGUGCUGAUGAUGACUGAGAAUGAGCUUGUCUACACCUUUGCUCUUACCUACACUCCUGUGGCAUUUGCUGGCACUCCGAUUACCCGUGCUGAGGGUGCAACUUGUUGGUGUUCAAUGCCACUAUCAAAGGUUCUUUAAUGUGAGCAGUAAUGCUGA